CCCGUUUUGCUGCCAUAUCAGCCCCAGUUAGUGCACAGCUCAACUAUUACUUCAACUUAUUUGAGCAUCAUUUGAAUCUUUAUCCUUGCAGUUGAAGUAUUAUCUGAUUUCUGAAAAUAGACAGUUAUUGGACAGUUCUGAUUUCUGAAACUACAAAGUUCGAAGAAUUUUGGAAACUGUAACUCUGGAAAAUGAUAGCCCCAUGGUUGCUGUAUUAAUCGUAGCUACACCAUCAGGUUUUCUUAGUAUUAUUUGGACUGCUAUAUAAGAAUUGUUCCUGUAGUCACAAAAAAAAAAAAGAACUGUUCCUGUAUGCAGUAGUGUCCUUGUGUCGGUUUUCAAUGAUCUCACUAGAAUUACUCAGAUAUAAUGGUGGGUUUAGUUACUGAAUCUUUUAUGUUGUUUAUUCAUAGCUAGCUGGUUCAGUUUCACGAGAUGGUUUCUUGUUACUUAUAUUAUUAUCUAGAUGAUGUCUUUAUUUGCCCAAUGGUUUCUUGUUACUUCUAGAUCUCUCCAGCACCAUUUAGAGUUGGGGAAGGUGAGCCUCUACCUUCUUGAGAUCGGAUACCAACUCCAGAAGAUAUUGUAGAAGCUUCUAUAUGACUAUAAGUUUAUAUAUGCUUCUAUAUGACUACAAUCUUUAUUACAACUUCUAUAUGACAUGGUCAAUAAUAUUUAGCUUCUAUAUGACAUGGUUAAUAAUAUUUAGCUUCUAUAUUACUAUUAAAUUAUAUGCUUCAGUUUGUUCCUAUCUCAAAAUAUAAAACAUGUCAGUUUUGGAGCUAUUAUUGAUGGUUUUUUAUCUACUGCCUUGGCCGAGAGUUUGACAUGAAUUAGGAAUGGUUUUGGAUUGUUCAAACUUGGUCAUAUAAUGGCUUGAAGCACAGUUAUUAUCCUUUUGAGUAGAUCUUCUGGAUUAAUUCAUCUUGUUGUUAUGAAUCUUUGGUUAAAAUUUUGCAUUUGUUCGAUCAUUUGAAAAAGAUUUGAAUUUCUCCAAAAUCUUCUUGGGCUGAAAUAUCAGAAAAAUAGGAUCUUCUUGGCCUUGGCCCAAAUUUUGCAUUUAGAACUUUAAAAACCAAGAGAUCUACUAUUGAAAAUAAGGUGAUCCAUCUUACAUAGAGUUUGGGCGUUUUUUCCUACCCUUUGCUCACUGGGCUUUCACAGAGGUUAGUAGACAUGUUUUUUUUUGUGACUAGGUUAGUAGACAUGUUGUGACUAUGUGGUCUUAGCAAGAACUAGAACAUAUCACAGGGUACAUAGAAAGUCUAUUAUUUCCGCAGCCGGAAUACUUAAGUGCUUUCCAGAUUGAUACCCUCUAAUAAUAUGUUUUGCUAUUGGUUUGGGUUGUAUACUCGCCAUAUGUAGUAUAUUUCAUUUCCUUAACUCCUGCCACUUUGGUGUUGUACAAAAAAGGUAUACUACUAUUUUGCUAGUACCACUUUAAAUUACACUAGGUUUACCAUUUUUCUUGUGUAAAAAAAUCAUGAUAAAACUACCAUAUAUUGAAUAUAGAGACAGUGAUGUAGUCUUUUUCUUAGAGCAUGUUCAAGAGGCUUUCUGAAACCCACUUUCUAAAUCAUUAUUUAAAGAGAUAUUUGAAUAAAGAUUACUCUCGAUAUCCUUCCACCCUCCAUUAGCUUCUCUAAUUUUUUUGGUGCACUCUAAAGAUCCAACCUUACUCUAUCUUUAGCUAGUGAGAAAUCUAGAAUAGAUGAUGUUAAUAUUUGAAGAUCUAAUUAGAGAAGUUAUUGGAGGGUAUUUUUCACUAAAAUCUCUCUUCUACGGGUACAAAGAGGCUCAGUGGAGAGUGAAGAGUUGGUCUGGAAUGUGGUUUAGAAAUUCUAUCGUGUUUUUUUGUAAAUUUAUGAUAAUGAUCCACACGGAGAGUGUCUUCGAGAUGCUAUUACAAGUUCUAAGGUACAAUUAACAAAAUUAUUUUGGUUUGUGUCAAUAUAUGAAUUAGUAUCUACUCCUUCUGUCCUAUGUAAUUAUAAGAUAUUGAAGCAUUAAAAAGUUAUCUCCAAUUAUAAGGAUUCUAAGGCUGAUGCUGAUGCUAAAAUAUUGUGAGAAGAAAACAUUGUUCCUUUGCUAAGAAGUACCGUUGAAGUAGUGCUGAUGAGUAGGUAGGGAUACAAAUAGUACGAAUAAUUUUCGAAUGUAUUCGAGACCAAAUUCUUUUAGAUGAGUUUAAAGUUGUCCAUAUCCGAGUCUAGAUAUUCAACAUUUCAAUACUGUAUCUAUAUCCGAAUACUCAAAUCGUAUAUUUAUGAUGUCAACAUGGAAUCGUAUCCUAUCCGGCAUGGCUAACACUAUCUGUAUUUGAAUCCGAAUCCGACCAAAAAUAUGAAAACAAAUAUGAUAUCAAUUAUAUCCGUCCAUAACCGAUCCGUUUUCCUCCAUACGAGCAGGGCAUAGCGAAGGAAUAAUAUGUAACACCCUAAAUUUUGCUUCUUUGAAAAUAAAGCUAAAAUAAUUUAUUUUUUAUUUCUGUGCUCAUGAAAAUAUAGUAAAAUAAAAUUUUCCUUAAAUUAAAAUUCAUCAUAGGGUUUAGCAACGUUGUUGUGCAUACAUGCUGGUACAUAUGUUUUAUGUGAUGUUUGUUUGUUGCUCCUUUGUGUGUUGAGACUAAGCAAAGUUUUUUUAAAAAAAUACGUUUAGUAGAUCGAUCUUCCUUAACUGGUACAUCUUUAUAUUUUUCUACAAACAAAUUCCUUGUCUCUUAGCUCAAGAUUUCGGUCAGGGUCUCUCAGAAUUUUUUCUUUCAAACCUAAGUCACUCGUUUGAGUUUCUUGUCCAUCAAGCAAUCUCUACAAACUUCUCAGGUAUUUUUCUAGCCUUUUCUAUGAGCAUAAAUCUAAUUUUUAGAUGCCCCAAAUUAUCUCAUCAUGAGCUCCAAAUACUUUAUUUGGAUUCCUCAUGUUCUAUAAUGUCUCUGAGAAUUUUUCCCAAAUUUUUGGAGCUUUUAGAGUAUUUUUCGUGGCUUAACUACUAAUUCUGGACUUUUCUAGAAUUAUUUUAUCCAUGAAAAUAAUUAAUUUCGAAAAUAAUAAAUCCUUCAUUUUACUCUAACCCAACGUCAUCAUUCAAAGGCCAAAUGUUUUUUUACUAAUGGGCUUUAAUAAUUAAUUAGGCCUAUUAGUAAAGAUAAAAGUUGUAAAUCAAUUAGUACCAUAUCGCUAGUUGACGUGGAGGUGGGGAGUUUCUCUCCCUAUAUAUAUACGUACCGAUCCUUUGACUAAAGUACACCAAAACUACGUAAAGAGAGUCUCUAGUUUGGAAAUUCUUUUAAGGUAGUAAAUAAUAAUAUUUUUUUCUCCGCUCCAAGCUGUCAUCAUCUAUCUUUCGCCAUCAUCUGUCAACGCCCUCUUCAGCUGACUAACUACUGCUGCGAGCCUCGGACCAUUGUUGACGUAUUGCUCAUCUGAAAUCAUCUAUAUGUUUGUCAACUGGAGCUGUCCUAUAUGUUUGUCAACUAGAGCUGUCGUGCUUGACGCUGCCAUUGGUGACCAGCGGACUAUGGCCAUGAAGAUCAUGAUUACUUCCAGACAUCCUGCCGGCUGCCGUGAGACUGCUGAUGGAGGGCCAGUUCGUUCGUAAUCAGCCAUGUUCAAGCAAAGCAAGUAGCGAUCACGUAUCAGACUAGCCCGAGAAACCGUCUAAUAUGACCAAACACAACGAGGAUCGUUUGUGGGCGCCGAAGAUCAGAAGAUGAUGACUGAAAGCUGAUGGUGUGAGAAUUGAGCAAGUGUUUAAGG